AGCUUCGUAGCUCAGUGGAAGAGCGUUGGGCUCAUAACCCAAAGGUCCCUUGAUCGAGACGAGGCGAAGCUA
rnacentral:tRNA from 1 species